GCCUACGGGACACAGCAGUGGGGGAUAUUGCACAAUGGGGGGAACCCUGAUGCAGCGACGCCGCGUGGGUGAAGAAGCGCCUCGGCGCGUAAAGCCCUGUCCGCAGGGAAGAAAAUGACGGUACCUGAAGAAGAAGCCCCGGCUAACUACGUGCCAGCAGCCGCGGUAAUACGUAGGGGGCAAGCGUUAUCCGGAUUUACUGGGCGUAAAGGGAGCGUAGGCGGACUUUUAAGUGAGAUGUGAAAUACUCGGGCUCAACUUGAGUGCUGCAUUUCAAACUGGAAGUCUAGAGUGCAGGAGAGGAG
rnacentral:rRNA from 1 species